UUCGACAUGGUGUAGUGGCUAAUAUUAUCGCCUUUUAUACGACUCAUCCCUACGAGUAUUUGGCGCGCGAUAGCUAGUGGUUCGAUUCCCCUUAUUAGAA